UGUCAAUGUAACAUCUGUGCAAUUUUGGUCUACGACAAUAAGAGUGACUUGUGGAUUUACUCGAGGAGUAGGACUGCACAGUGCACGGACCGCGUUAUCAAAACACAGCGUCACAGGUAGUCCAGCCUACCCAGUUGAGGUAAAUCCAUAAAAGUCUAUUAAAUGUAAUCCGUGUAGAAGCCCGUGUUGUGCGGUCUCAGGUACCUUAUUCUCCUCUUUAAAACGAGCACGCUAAUCUUUAGCACUGCAGCCUCGCCCGCUUUAAGGAUUAAGAUGUUAAACCGCUCUGAUGAGUGCAUUCGAAGUUAAGUCUCAACCCGAGUCUCGUUCCACCGCGGCUCUCGCGGCGAGACGCCUCGUCUCGGCAUUAGCUGCAGUGAUAACGGCCUGAUCCUCACAUUCGUCUCGGAGGGCUGGUUCCUCUCCGCGGUUUCUGACGCUCACGAGUUCAGAGCGUUCACCUGCUCACUUCUCUGACUAGCAGCAGUGUGACAAAGGCGGAGAAGGAGCCCAGACUCUGAUGGAGGAAAAAAAGAUCUGCCAAGGGACCCCCCAUGAGAGAUCAGCCUGUCAGUACGACAGGGCAGGGAGGGAAAUGCAUGGAGCCGCUGCCGGGGUAGGCUUCUCUGUAAUACAAAUGACACUCGCGAUUACGGCGCUAACAUGUGACGGGUGAAAACCUC